CCCCGGUCCUCUCCUGAUUAUGCUCCUAGCGCCCUACGCUGCCCCUCCCCGGCUGAUCGGCGGCGCGUCAUCGUGAGGGGCGACACCGCCCCUCCGAAGUUCUAAAUACCAGCGCCCUCCCCUGUGCAUCUCAUUCUGCUGAGAUCAGUGCUCUUGUGAUCAGCUUGUGUAUCUCUCGUUCCGCUACUCUCGUUCGCUUAUUCACCAGUGUUUUUCAACCAUGAACUUCUACAAUCUUCUCUUCGCCAUUGGUGCCUGCUGUUUCCCGACCGAACAAAUCCAGAUGUUCGAUGAACUACCUGUUGAACUCGUGAUUCAAAUUUUAAGCUUUUUGGAUCCAAAGUCUCUAUCAGUUAUGUCUCGCAUGAACAAGCGCUUAUUUCACAUUUGCAAGAACAACAAAGGUCUUAGAACUACGAUCAGAAGAUACCUUCGCAAGGAACGAAAAGAACAACUCAAGAAAAUGCCGAACCCAGUUAAAGUCAGAGUUCUCAGGAGAGAACCCGAAGACACGGAUGUUGUGUUCCAACGCCAAAAUACUAGGAGAGAAGCCGUCAUCACUCGGAAUUUCGAGCCCUCACGAGUUUCGCCAAGACAAACCGAAAGCCCGCAAGUAGUAUUUCAACGCCAAAACACAAGGAUUGGGACCGUCGUCGCUCCACAUUUCGGACGCUCGCAAGUUUUGCCAACUACAAAACGUCCCAUUGCUGCCGUCUCAAAAAAACGAUCACGUGGUGGUCAGGAAAAGAACCCAGGACCAGGACUAGCCAAGAAGAUGCGGAUUUAAUUUGUGCCCCGCAGAUUAGUUUUUAAGUUUGCUCAUUUUGUAGCUUGAUUCUGUAAAUAGCCUUUGUUUGUACAGAUUUGUAAAUUUUAUUGUUGUUAUUUGUAUAUACUGUUUUUUGUUGAAUAAAAUCGUAUGUCGUACAGCUCGUUUGCCUUUAAAAACAAAUCAAUGUUGUUUUGGGGUUUUUGGCGAAGAGUGGACUGGUAGAGCUACAGGCGAUCAACCACUAUAAAAAAAGAUGUAACGUGCCACUGCCAGGAUGCCGUAAAACGCAUUUGACUUGUAAUUAUCUUUUUUUUAUAUAGGGAUAUUGCUACUCUAAAAACUCAUCGAACAUAAAUGUUUCUAAUGUGUCGCAGUGGCCCGCAGUUUUGCUUCAUGCCAGGUUUUGCUACUAGGUGCUACUUUUUUGCGCCACUUUCAGAAACACCGUGUGUGCUGUUAGUUUCUCCAUAAACAUAACUGCUCCUGUUGAGCAAUAAAUAGUAGCACCUAAUAGCAAAUUAUGAUCCAAUUGUAACUGGCGUGAAGAGGUUCGGCAUUGUGCAGAUGGAUUGGGUUACAUUUUGCAGAAAGUAACCACUAUUUUCGGCCCAUUUUAGAAACAACAUACAUGUCAUUGGUUUCCCUAUGCAGAUAUGUGCUUUUAUGGGAGAGCCAGGGAUAGUGGUUCCUUAUUGCAAAAUAUGAUCCAAUUGGCACGCAUUUUGGAGUAAGGACAUUGGCGUGGCGUGCUUUGCGAUAUAUCGGUCUUUCCCCUUUUGAAGCUGUGAUAGAUAAUUUAUCAUUAAGGUUUGUUGAUACUUUUCCGUAGGAUUAAAUGGCCGAUCAAUCGAUAUAUCGCGAAGCACGCCACUGAGUAAGGGGCUGCUAUUUCUG
rnacentral:lncRNA from 1 species